rnacentral:sRNA from 1 species
UUUUGAUUGCUAUAAUGACGGCAUAGUAGACAAGUGAAGAUGGUGGCGCUCCCCCUAAGAGGAGGUGAUGCGUAUGGUCAACGACCAUAACGUUCAAUCCUAUGGAAAGGAGGUGCCUGGGUGGUUCCAGUGAUGGACACUCUUCAACUGGUGGUAGCUUUUGCGAUUCUUAUCGUCAUGCUCAUCACGUUAGUUGUUGAACUUAU